GUGGAGGAGCAGGAGGAUGAAAAAGAGGUCCUGGAUGAUUCGAUUGAGACUCUUCGCUUCUCUUUCACAACCUCGUCCAGAUUCAUUUCCUGAAAUAAAAGUGCAUAUGGUUUUAGACUCUGCUAAAGACCGCGCCUGUGGUUUCUAAAUGCUUGGUUUCAAAUAGAUGCUAAUCUGCAACAAUAACUGAAGGUGCAGAAGUCUUAAAUUUUUACUUCCAGUGCUGCUAGUGAAGAUCCAUGGACAGCCAGGACCGGUGGUGGUGAAGAGAUCAGAACUGCCGGCAACAAAUUCCGCAAUUACACGAGGGUGUUCGAAAGAGAUAAAUGACCCGGCCUGAUAACAAGUGCCAUCAUCAUUAUUCAACGUCCUGACGCAGGCUCGAAUCAUGGGUACAUAACUAUUUUUUUACCAAAUCUGUGAGUGAAAAUUUGGAAAAUGCUUAUCAAGAUUGAUUAAUAUUGUCACUAACAACUCACAACCCACAUGACAUGUUUGGAAAAUGCUUUAUCAAGAAAAGGGUAUGCAAACUUCCCAGCUUGCAUUCCAACAUAUCAACAGCACAUAGAUAUGACAUUCAUCUUUCAACUAUCCCAUCUGGACAUUAGAAUGCAGCAACUCAUCAAUCAGUAUCCCAAGUGGGUAGCUUGUAUUUUUGUCACAAUAGGUUGCA